CCCUGUCCUCCACGCGCCGCGCGCGUGUGCCCACUUCCCGGCACUUUUUCCACCGGCUUCUUUUGGACAGUUUUCUCUCCCCAUAUUUCCGACCCACUUGGUACUCUCGGAAUUUUUCACUGGCCACUUUCAUCCUUUAUUGUUCAUUUAGCCACCUUGCUUUUCGCCGGAAAUUUUACCGGGAACUCCUACUCUUUUCCUUCUAUUCUAUCCCCUGCUUUUUGUGGGUGUGUUCUAUUUCCUUGGACAGGUACCUAUUUCAACGGCGAGGAUCUCCGACAACUACCAUCCAAACUCUCAUUCAGACUCACGGCAGGACGCAAUAGAGCCGCGCACUUUGCUCAGAUUCAGGAGAACUCGGGCGCAGCAAAGCACACUUCCAGGUUUUUCCACCGGGAGUUGGUACCUCCCGCUCUCUNNN
rnacentral:lncRNA from 1 species